AUUGAACGCUGGCGGCAGGCCUAACACAUGCAAGUCGAACGAGCGGCGGACGGGUGAGUAAUGUCUGGGAAACUGCCUGAUGGAGGGGGAUAACUACUGGAAACGGUAGCUAAUACCGCAUACCAUCGGAUGUGCCCAGAUGGGAGUAGCUAGUAGGUGGGGUAAGGGCUCACCUAGGCGACGAUCCCGAGCUGGUCUGCGAGGAUGACCAGCCACACUGGAACUGAGACACGGUCCAGACUCCUAAGGGAGGCAGCAGUGGGGAAUAUUGCACAAUGGGCGCAAGCCUGAUGCAGCCAUGCCGCGUGUGUGAAGAAGGCCUUCGGGUUUUAAAGCACUUUCAGCGAGGAGGCGUUACUCGCAGAAGAAGCACCGGCUAACUCCGUGCCAGCAGCCGCGGUAAUAC
rnacentral:rRNA from 1 species